rnacentral:tRNA from 1 species
GCGCUCGCGCGCCGCAUCGCACCCUUCGGGUGCUGGCGCUCCGCGAGGGCGCGGCACGAGCCGCGACGGCCGGUCGGCCUUGCGAGACGUGCGUCUCGUUGGCGAAAGCCGAUUUAAGGCGCAGUCUAAGGGCUUGUAGCUCAGUUGGUUAGAGCGCGCGCUUGAUAAGCGUGAGGUCGGAGGUUCAAGUCCUCCCAGGCCCACCACUAACAGUGCAACCCGAAGGGUUGUCGCUUGCCGGUCGAUGCGAUCGGGCACUAUCAGGGGCCGUAGCUCAGCUGGGAGAGCGCCUGCUUUGCAAGCAGGAUGUCGUCGGUUCGAUCCCGUCCGGCUCCACCAACCAUCUUUUUGUGAAGAUGGGACGUGUCGAGUAGAGAUGGUCGCCGGUGGUCAGUCAUUCGAAAAUGAGUUUGCGUCGGGCUUAAUGCUCUGCGCCUGUUCUGUUUGACAUCGUAAAGAGAAGAUUUGUUCGAACUUCAUGGAUCCCGAAAGGGCCAUGAUUUGUCGCAAGGGACGCUCAAUUCCUUGCAUAUGAUGGGUUUGCCUAACCGCGCCCUCGAACCGAUCUCGAGAAGCUGGUCUUUUUGUGCCAAU